UUAUUGUCUGAGGACAAAGCUUUUUUGGGACCCUGAAUAUUCUUUUCUGAGUUUCAUUCUUAGGUUGGUUGUGUCCUUGGACUGUCCUUAAAUGAGCAUGCUAAGAAAAACAUCAGUAGUCAGCAGUUCAUUGGAAGCAAUAUCUGAAAUCUAAGACUAGUGAAUAUCUGUCCCUGGGAAUAAGGAGAAAUCAAAGAAGACCCUCAGCAUAUUAGUGAGCUCCAUGAUGAAUUUAUGAGAAGACGUGAAUGAGUAUGACAGGACAGGCAAACAUAGAUUGACUGCAACAUAUUUCAUUGAAGGAAGCACCCACACUGAUAAAAUUGUGAAUCCGUUUGGGAAUAUGUGAAUCCUAAGCAUCCAUACCAGUACCUUGCAUAUAGACCUGUGAUAUCUCAAAAGAUCAGAAGUCCAGUUUGCCAGCAAGCCAAUCUGGGUGAGGUGCCUAAAGGGAGACCUGAGAUAUCUACGCCAGCAGUGACUCCACUAUGUGCCUUGCAGCAGGGGAACAAUUCAUCCAUCAAAUGACUAUGCCACAUUUGGAAGUGAAUUUAAUGGGACAAAUGUUUUUCAGCAAACAUUUUAAUUUGAACCCAUUAUCUCCAGGGACAGAGCUAUUACAAAUUUUAGGGGUGUUUCUGCUAUGUAACUUCUGUUAUUGUCAUCCUUUUUUUUUUUUUUUGGUGAGGCAGUUGGGGGUUAAGUGAU